AAGAGAAGAGAAAUUUUAAGUUAUGCAUACAUAUGGCUUACUUUUUGGGUGGGCAUUGGUUUGUAUGUUUCACAUGGGUGGGCAAUGGUUUGUAUGUUUCACAUGGGUUGGCCUAUUUUAUAUGGGUAUUUUUUAUUUUUGAAAAUUUCGAGUAGGCAGCAGCCUACCUUGCCCUAGGUGUAGGACCACCCCUGGCCAUGACACAGCGACUGGUAGUUGUUAUUUGGCAGUGGUAUGAGAUAGCAAUUGGGGAAGAUGGUGUUGGUUCAAAAAGUCAUAUUUGCCCUUAAGAAUUAUGGCACGUACCAUGCACAUGAUCAAUUUUGACAGAAAACUAGACGGAUUUAACGGAAUAGACGAACUGUGCAAUGUUUGGCUUAAUUUAAGGAUGGCAACAACUAUUUCUGGUGUUUAUAGACGAAAACGUAACUCAGAAUAUAGUUCAGAGACCAUUGCUAUAUAUAGUUUAGCCUAAACAAACGGAAUAAGAGAGAGAGGGAUACCUUAUUUUAUUCUACAUCUCUUGAGCUAAAUCCUCCAUCUCUCAAUGACAGGACCCGCCCCGGAAUUUUCCGGAAACCGAAGCGGACCCCGUCUUUAUUCCGACAUCAUCCCGAUGCCGGGCCCACUUACUAAGAAAUCGAGACUUUCUACCAAAAUUUUGGCAGAGUCUCCCCUGUAAUUUAAGCAAUCCCAACAAAAAUUAAUCAACCUGUAACACACAUAAAAUAAAAAUAAUCCCAACUAGCAGAAUGCUUUCACAAAUCUACAAGUCAUACUAGAGUGGCCUCCGGCCUCACAAGUAAAAUCUAC
rnacentral:lncRNA from 1 species